CCAGAAGCUUGUAGGCAUGCAUGGAAAAGGCUUGGUACACACCAGAUCGCCGCUGACAUCUAAUACUGGCUUACCUAACAGGGGAAGGCAAACGUUUUAAAUGUGAAAUAAUAACAACUAUAAUGUUAAAUAGUUGUGAUGACUUGUCGUGCUGCUGAUGAUGGUGAUUGCUGUGAUUGACAGUGUGUAGUGAGUGUGAUGAUAUUGAUACUGUUCAACAUGGUUGAUGAUGAUGAUUGAUUAUGAUGAUAAUGAUGAUUAAUCAUGAUGAUGGUGGUAUAAAAUACAGCAGUGUUUACAGUCUCUACCUUCGUCAUCCCAGCUUUCUACUGCCAUGCCAAGGUUUCUAGCUUGUAUCUCUCCACGGUAAACUGGAAUUGUACAAUUCUGGCCAGCAAAGCAUGAAAUAAUAUCUGUUCCUCCUGUGGAAAUGAAUCAUUGAAUUGGAGAACAUCAUCUUUGAUACAGUGAUACACAUAGUCAUAGCUGGAAGGUUUCAGAGAUCCAACAAAUGGAAAAACAACUACUUUUUCUAAUUGAGGAAGACCUAACAUGGAAAAUAAUUACAGUGUAUAAAAAAUAUCAAGGGAUAGAAACACAAUACAACAAUUUACAACCUUUCCAGGUUUCUUAAGGCAGAAGCAAGAGUGGCUACAUUUUGUUUCAACUCAGAAAAUGUGAUGGACUUCAAGUUUUGGCCUUCACCUGUCAUCAUGAGUUUCAUCAAAAAAGUCAGAAUUAUCAGCUAACUUAAGAUAUUGUUGAACAUAACAACUAGAUUGUAAUACCAAUGAUAUAUACCUGCUGUAUAUAGAGCAACUUUGUUGCCCUCAUAACGCAAUAAGUUUUCUGCAUAAUUUAACCUGGCACCAGGAAACCAUUCAGGUAUUUCAUCAAUUCUUUUGCUUGUAUCAACAACCUACCAGAAAAAAAAUGAAAUUAUGAAAUAAAAUCCUGAUCCAACUUGAUGGAGUAACCAGAUUCUCUACUGAAAAUAAUAUCAUUAAAAUGUUCUGUACAUUUAG